rnacentral:lncRNA from 10 species
AAGAGAACAGCAUCAGGGCACAUUGAGGCUCAGAAAUUUAUAUUCCAAGAAGAGGUGCACAGGAACAGAGCAGAUCCAAAGACAACCACCUGGAAGCAGUCAUAACAACAGCAAUAGCAAAUCAAUGCUGAUAAAAGAAAUCAAGUACAGAGAGUUUUAAGGACAUUGUCCAAAGUUGUACAAGACUCCAACACUAAGCAUUCACCUGGAGAUAACCUACAGAGAUACUCUGUGUUACCCACAACUAGUCUGUUGACUAAGUUGGUGAAUAUAUUUGGGAAAAGCCCAUGUGGAAGAAUGGAAGCCUGCAUUAUCUUUCUCAGAGACAGACAGGAAGGUGACUCUAUGGAAGACAUCAGCGAUAAACUAGGAAGGAGUGACACGCAGUGACUGCAUGCCAGGACAGCCUUCCACUCCAGAAGGCCCUUGCCAACACAAAUAAAGAAGGGAAAUGACAUCUUACUUGUUGAAGUAAAGAAACUGCAGUGUAAACAAUAACAACAAUCAUGCAAUCAGAGAAGUGAUUAAGCAGGAAGAAUUCAUUCUAAAUGCCUGACCAUGGUGAACUUACAAAAUAUGACUGUUGCCUCUCGCCAGACAAAAAGAAACUUUGAAAUAACUGUCUUCAACAUUUCUGCUUUAAAAGUCCUUUUAUAACCAUCUGUUUUCU